GUGAGGAAUAUUGCGCAAUGGAGGCAACUCUGACGCAGCCAUGCCGCGUGCAGGAAGAAGGCGCUACGCGUUGUAAACUGCUUUUAACCGGGAAGAAACCCCAGGACGUGUCCUGGGUUGACGGUACCGGAGGAAUAAGCACCGGCUAACUUCGUGCCAGCAGCCGCGGUAAUACGAAGGGUGCAAGCGUUAUCCGGAUUCACUGGGUUUAAAGGGUGCGUAGGCGGAGCGUUAAGUCAGUGGUGAAAUCCUGCAGCUUAACUGUAGACUUGCCAUUGAUACUGGCGCUCUUGAGUGCGCUUGAAGUGGGCGGAAUGUGCCGUGUAGCGGUGAAAUGCUUAGAUAUGGCACAGAACACCAAUUGCGAAGGCAGCUCACUAAGGCGAUACUGACGCUGAGGCACGAAAGCGUGGGGAUCGAACAGGAUUAGAUACCCGGGUAGUCC
rnacentral:rRNA from 1 species